UACGUAGGGGGCAAGCGUUGUCCGGAUUUAUUGGGCGUAAAGAGCGUGUAGGCGGCCAAGCAGGUCAGCUGUGAAAACUCGAGGCUCAACCUCGAGACGUCGGUUGAAACCGCUUGGCUAGAGUCCGGAAGAGGAGAGUGGAAUUCCCGGUGUAGCGGUGAAAUGCGUAGAUAUCGGGAAGAACACCCGUGGCGAAGGCGGCUCUCUGGGACGGUACUGACGCUGAGACGCGAAAGCGUGGGGAGCGAACAGG
rnacentral:rRNA from 1 species